rnacentral:rRNA from 1 species
AAUUAACGCUGGCGGCGUGCCUAAGACAUGCAAGUCGUACGCGAAAGUUCCUUCGGGAAUUAGUAGAGUGGCGCACGGGUGAGUAAUAUUUAGGUAAUGUACCCUUUCGCUGGGGAUAACCAGGGGAAACUCUGGCUAAUACCGAAUGAUCCGACUUUUACUGCGGUUUAAGUCGGUAAAGCUGUAAAGCGCGAAAGGAGCAGCCUGAAUACCAUUAGCUAGUUGGUGGGGUAACGGCCUACCAAGGCUUUGAUGGUUAGCUGGUCUGAGAGGAUGAUCAGCCACACUGGAACUGAAACACGGGCCAGACUCCUACGGGAGGCAGCAGUUAGGAAUUUUGGACAAUGGGCGAAAGCCUGAUCCAGCCAUGCCGCGUGAGUGAUGAAGGCCUUAGGGUUGUAAAGCUCUUUUGUCCGGGAAGAUAAUGACUGUACCGGAAGAAUAAGCCCCGGCUAACUUCGUGUCAGCAGCCGCCGUAA